rnacentral:rRNA from 1 species
AGAGUUUGAUCAUGGCUCAGAAUCAACGCUGGCGGCGCGCUUAACACAUGCAAGUCGCACGAGAAAGCAGGAGCAAUCUUGUGAGUAAAGUGGCGUACGGGUGAGUAACACGUGGAUCAUCUACCUCUUGGUGGGGAAUAACCCUGGGAAACCGGGGCUAAUACCGCAUAAGCCUGCGAAGGGAAAGCAGCAAUGCGCCGAGAGAGGAGUCCGCGGCCGAUUAGCUAGUUGGCGGGGUAACGGCCCACCAAGGCGAAGAUCGGUAGCCGGCCUGAGAGGGCACACGGCCACACUGGCACUGAAACACGGGCCAGACUCCUACGGGAGGCAGCAGUGGGGAAUCUUGCACAAUGGAGGGAAACUCUGAUGCAGCGACGCCGCGUGAGCGAUGAAGCCCCUCGGGGUGUAAAGCUCUUUCGACGGGAAAGAUAAUGACGGUACCCGAAGAAGAAGCUGCGGCUAACUACGUGCCAGCAGCCGCGGUAAUACGUAGGCAGCAAGCGUUGUUCGGAAUUACUGGGCGUAAAGAGUGUGUAGGCGGUGCUCUAAGUCUGUUGUGAAAUCUCCCGGCUUAACUGGGAGGGUGCGGCGGAGACUGGAGUGCUAGAGUGUGGGAGAGGUAAGCGGAAUUCCUGGUGUAGCGGUGAAAUGCGUAGAUAUCAGGAGGAACCCUGUGGUGUAGACAGCUUACUGGACCACGACUGACGCUGAGACACGAAAGCGUGGGUAGCAAACAGGAUUAGAUACCCUAGUAGUCC